UAAAAAGCUCGUAGUUGGAUCUGUGUAUCGGACGGUCGGUUCGCCGCUCGCGGCGUUUAACUGACCGGUCCGGACGUCCUGCCGGUGGGCGCCGGCCUCGGCCGGAGCCCGUAACUCCCUCCGCGCUGCUCUUAACCGAGUGGUUCGGUGGGCCGGCACGUUUACUUUGAACAAAUUUGAGUGCUCAAAGCAGGCCUUUUGUCGCCUGAAAACUGUGUGCAUGGAAUAAUGGAAUAGGGCCUUGGCUCUAUUUUGUUGGCUUUUCUGAGCUCGAGGUAAUGAUUAAUAGGGACAGACGGGGGCAUUCGUAUUGCGACGUUAGAGGUGAAAUUCUUGGAUCGUCGCAAGACGAACGGAUGCGAAAGCGUUUGCCAAGAAUGUUUUCGCUAAUCAAGAACGAAAGUUAGAGGUUCGAAGGCGAUCAGAUACCGCCCUAGUUCUAACCAUAAACGAUGCCAGCCAGCGAUGCGCCGAAGUUCCUCCGAUGACUCGGCGCGCAGCUUCCGGGAAACCAAAGCUUUUGGGUUCCGGGG
rnacentral:rRNA from 1 species